UUAGCCCUAACAGAUAUUAACAGGAGAUUUAUUUAUAUAGAUGUAGGUGCAUAUGGAAAGCAAAGUGAUGGUGGUGUUUUUAGAAAUAGCUCUUUAUAUAGAGAAUUGAUUAACCAUACACUUGAUAUGCCUGCUCCCAAACCAUUUCCAGGUUGUAAUGAGGCCAUGCCAUUUGUAAUGGUUGGGGACAACACAUUCCCUUUAUCAAAUUAUUUGAUGAAGCCCUACCCCAAAAGAAAUCUGACAACAGAAGAAAGGGAAUAUAACAUGAGGCUGUGCCAUGCUCGACUAAGUGUAGAAAGAAGCUUUGGUGGAAUAGUCAAAAAAUUUGGCAUUCUAAGUAAGCCAAUAGAAAUAGGACUACCUAGCAUAGAGAUAGUGAUAAAGGCUAUUUGCAUCCUACAUAACAUUAUCAUCAACAAAGAAGAUCAGCUUCCAUUGAUGAUAUAGAUCCUACAUUGGCUAACCUUACAACAAGACCAUUUUUGGCAAGCAGGGAAAACAACUCAAGCUCACAGGAAUCUAAAAUCAUUAGGGAAAAAUUUAAUAAAUU